UUUCUGCAGGAUAUCCAAC
rnacentral:snRNA from 1 species